rnacentral:rRNA from 1 species
GGGAAAGUUGCAAAGAACUUUGAAGAGAGAGUUCAACAGGACGUGAAACCGCUUGCAGGGAAACAGAUGGAACCACGAAGUCCAGUUGAGUGUGAAAUUCACAUUUCAAGACUGGCUAAACUUGAGUCUAUUUCUCAUCUGAGUAAAGCUCUUGUUUGUGCUUGUCUAGAGAUGCAUUUUUCACGUUCACGAUGGAGCUCUGACUCUUUAAACAAACCGAUCUGCAUAGGGCAGCUUUUUAUUGUGGUAAGGUUCUUGUACCCUUCAAUGCAUAAGAAAGUUUGUAGAGAGGUUUAUCAAAAGGGUUGGAUUUCUUACUGUUGUAAGUGUUUCAGUUUAUCAGUGAUCAUAUUGAAUAGAUUACUGUCAAUAGACUUACUUCGGCUCUUGCAGUUGAAACUGUCUUUUGUACCGUGUUCACUAUAUUCAAUAUGCACACUAAUGAUAAUCCAGAGUAAGUCGGUCGGUCAUCCAUCUGACCCGUCU